rnacentral:lncRNA from 1 species
GGUUUAUCAAGAUAAAAAAAAAGGCCUAAUUGGUAAGCAAUGGCGUCAGAGACAUGAUUUACAAUCGUCGUCGUAGCUGAAGUUGCUCAAUUCUCCACUGCAUCUAUCAACGCCUUCACAGACAGGUUGGUCUCGACACAAUCAUACCUCAAAUUUAGCUUUCUUUAAUGCCAGACUUUGUAGAAGAACAAAACAUAUAUGAUAUAUACCCUUGAACCUCAAAAGAA